GAUGCUGCUGUGUGUCCAGGAGGCACCACCUUUAUCUCCUUCCUGUCCAUUCCCUCUUUAAUCAUGGGUCUUGGCCAUGGCAAAGUGACACCUGAUUUCAGACUGGAUUUCAGAACAGGCCUCGACAUUACAGCUGAGCUUUGCUUGUGGGCCAAGACUCUCUUCUUCCUGAUACUGUUUGCAUCAGAUUGGAAAGUUCUGAUCAGCUCCGGGGAUGUUGGGACCUGUGGGUCAAGGUUUUCCUUGUGGCAGACCAGCCUGUUCUGCAGCCCCUCAUUCAGGGAGUGAGGUGCUCCAAGAGGAGGGUGGUCACUUUCCACCUGAGGUGCUGCUGCAGUGACAGUCUCCUGUGUAGACUUCUGGUUCCUUUUUGGCUUUAGGUGACCAGAGCUUGAAGGUGGGAGCCUGCCUCUAGUCUGUGCAGAAGCAGGAAGUGUCAUGGUGUUCCCUGGCUGCGCUGGACGCACCCCUCCUGCUCUCUGGGAUGUAUUUGAAGGCUUCUUCUGAGCAAUGUGGCCAGUGUGCUGUGUGGAUUUGGCUCCAAGUUUGCCAUCCUCUUGAGCACCCUCCAUCACAUUCCCAAGAACAUCCUUCUUGUUCCUGUCAACCUGGAAAGACAAAGCAACCCUCAGCUCCAAGGAGAGCGCAGCUUUGUCAGACCCUGACAGCUGGCCCAGGGGACAGUCAUGUGACAAAGCAGCUGUCAACAGAACAAUAACACAAUACCCACCAGGACACGGGCAAAGGAUCAGUCUCCCAAACUGAAACUCCUAAGCUAAACUCCUUUGAAAAACAGCUAGUUGACUCAUUGCCAGCUAUUUAGCAAUCUGUGGUAUGUCCCCCAUUUGGAGUCAGGAACUCAUGACCUGACUUGGGGUUGUGGUUUUUAAAGCAAGUUACAGACUUGAAUUGAAGCCAGGAUGAAAAAUUAUGAUGACUGAAGUACAUUCGCUUGUGACACUAUAAGCAGCAAUCCUGAGUGAGACCUUUUGAGCUCUCUUGGACUGUGUAGGCUGUGACCAGCAUCUCCCUCCAAGUGGGGAUUCUCAGAGCUAGAAAACUUUCAUGUUUGCUGUACUUGGGGGAACAGCAACAUGUCAACAGAGAUAGGGCUGAGACCCCCUUUCCCCAAGGCUCAACCCUUUUCCUGUUGAGAAGAUACAAAGGCAUGAGUCCUUCACUGAAUUUGAGGAGAACUUUUCACAGAUAUAUCUUGUACAAACUCUUUAGGUCUAUGUGUGUGUAAGUAUGGUAGAGCAAAUGUUCUAUGAAUGUGGCUUUCCUUGGUUCUUAAGUACUUUAGAUUUUUAAGUCAGGCCUGUAAGCAAGUUAUUUUUGUGCUACAGUAAAUUCUAGAUUAAUCCUUUGUUAAAAUAUUUAACUGAAGCUAUUCAUUAAAUGCUAUUAAGUUUAAGUGCUGUUAAAACUUUCAGACCUAAACUGUUGGUCAAGCCCAGUGCUCAGAUUAGCAAGGCAGUCUCUGCUCUGAAUCUUGUGACUCAAUGGACCUUCCUUGUUCCUUUUUAUCCUUAUCCUUCCCUGACUCCCCCAGCCCCCACAUAGAUAACUUUUGCACUGGUUUCGGUCUUAGAUUGAUUGAUUUUAGCUUGCUUUUUCUCUAUCUGCUUUAACCAUCCAGUAAGUAGUUGAGUGAACCUUGACAAUGAACUUCUUUGUGCUUUCACUUCUACAUUAAAACUGCUUUUGCUGA